GAAGUAAUUGAUGGCGCCAGAGAAGGUAAUUAGAAGACGACAAUUUAAUUGUCAACAUAUGAAGAAUGGUGUUCAAGGGGAGGGUACCUUCGGUUGCUUUUACAGCGGCAGCCAUGGGAGAGAAGAAAGAAGAAGGCGAUUAGGGUUAGGGAGGAUCGGUUUAGGCUGAUACCAUGUAGAGUUUAAUAAUUUCACCACACACUUGUGGACUCUCAUUCAUUGAAUAUAUAUAGGAUACAAAUACAAGUUAUAACAAUAAGAUUUACACAAAUCCCUAACUUGUAGGAGAGCUAACUAAUUUAUAUUUAUCUAGGAUUCUAUCAUGAUCUUCAAUAUUAUCUCUAAUAG
rnacentral:lncRNA from 1 species